rnacentral:rRNA from 1 species
CCUACGGGUGGCAGCAGUGGGGAAUAUUGGACAAUGGGGGCAACCCUGAUCCAGCCAUGCCGCGUGUGUGAAGAAGGCCCUCGGGUUGUAAAGCACUUUCAGUGAGGAAGAACGCCUGGUGGUUAAUACCCAUCAGGAAAGACAUCACUCACAGAAGAAGCACCGGCUAACUCCGUGCCAGCAGCCGCGGUAAUACGGAGGGUGCGAGCGUUAAUCGGAAUUACUGGGCGUAAAGCGCGCGUAGGUGGCUUGAUAAGCCGGUUGUGAAAGCCACGGGCUCAACCUGGGAACGGCAUCCGGAACUGUCAAGCUAGAGUGCAGGAGAGGAAGGUAGAAUUCCCGGUGUAGCGGUGAAAUGCGUAGAGAUCGGGAGGAAUACCAGUGGCGAAGGCGGCCUUCUGGACUGACACUGACACUGAGGUGCGAAAGCGUGGGUAGCAAACAGGAUUAGAUACCACGGUAGUC